GUCGGCCGGGACGCCCUCGCAGCCGGCCAGGAAGCGGUUCACCUCCGCCAGACAUUCGUGGAAGCCGGCGCGGUACUUGCCCAGGACGGCGGGGUCGGCGCUGAGCGCGGCUGCGGGAGCGACACAGGAGGAGAGGAAAGGCGGCCAACCCAGUGUCUCCGAUGACAUGUUUCCGGGUCGUCAUCCACUGGCCACAGGGAAUCACAGGCUCGGUGUGACUUUCUCAGACCGCCAUGGUGCCCCUGUGGGGUUUCCCAGCCCAUCCUGUCCCGUGGGGCAGGCGGAGGCCCAGCCGUGUCAUCGGAGUGACCUUCAAGCUCUAACCAAAGUCCACGUGUCAUCAGGAGCCAUGAGUCAAUCAGAUGCCAUCCAGGGCAGUGGCUGAGGAGUGGUGACUGGCCAGAUGGGGAGGCGGGGAAAGGUCUGGAUUUGAAUGAGAGCGAAGGAGUGGGCUGCAGGCUGGUAGACUCCUCCAGAUGGAUGAGUCCAGACCCCUGCAACAGCCAACCUGAGCAAGGCUCAAGCCUCCCUGAGAGUCCAGGGCGCCAAGUCACCCUGCACCUGGCCCAGGCCUCGGACCCUGAUGGGGCCCACCCACCUGAGAUCACCCUGGCUCUUCGGGAAGGCAGGAAGCUUUGGCGUGAUCCUCCACGGGUGAGGGUCACGUAGAGACGUGUAGAGACGCGACGAAGCACGAAGACCCGUGUUUGACGGGUUACCAGGUGCCUACAUCAGAGCUCAUUAAAUUACACAUUAAAUAGAUGCAGCUUGUGUGUGUCAAUCACACCUAGUUCAAGUUGUAAUAAAUCAGACUCAGAGUUUUUA